AACGAACGCUGGCGGCAUGCCUAACACAUGCAAGUCGAACGAAGGCUUCGGCCUUAGUGGCGCACGGGUGCGUAACGCGUGGGAAUCUGCCCUUAGGUUCGGAAUAACAGCUGGAAACGGCUGCUAAUACACGAUGCUAUCGCGAGAUCAAAGAUUUAUCGCCUGAGGAUGAGCCCGCGUUGGAUUAGGUAGUUGGUGGGGUAAAGGCCUACCAAGCCGACGAUCCAUAGCUGGUCUGAGAGGAUGAUCAGCCACACUGGGACUGAGACACGGCCCAGACUCCUACGGGAGGCAGCAGUGGGGAAUAUUGGACAAGGGGCGCAAGCCUGAUCCAGCAAUGCCGCGUGAGUGAUGAAGGCCCUAGGGUUGUAAAGCUCUUUUACCCGGGAAGAUAAUGACUGUACCGGGAGAAUAAGCCCCGGCUAACUCCGUGCCAGCAGCCGCCGUAA
rnacentral:rRNA from 1 species